GCGUGGGGGGUGCUUACCAUGCAAGUCGAACGAUGAACCGCUUUCGGGCGGGGAUUAGUGGCGAACGGGUGAGUAACACGUGGGCAAUCUGCCCUGCACUCUGGGACAAGCCCUGGAAACGGGGUCUAAUACCGGAUAUGACUGUCCAUCGCAUGGUGGAUGGUGUAAAGCUCCGGCGGUGCAGGAUGAGCCCGCGGCCUAUCAGCUUGUUGGUGAGGUAGUGGCUCACCAAGGCGACGACGGGUAGCCGGCCUGAGAGGGCGACCGGCCACACUGGGACUGAGACACGGCCCAGACUCCUACGGGAGGCAGCAGUGGGGAAUAUUGCACAAUGGGCGAAAGCCUGAUGCAGCGACGCCGCGUGAGGGAUGACGGCCUUCGGGUUGUAAACCUCUUUCAGCAGGGAAGAAGCGAAAGUGACGGUACCUGCAGAAGAAGCGCCGGCUAACUACGUGCCAGCAGCCGCGGUAAUACGUAGGGCGCAAGCGUUGUCCGGAAUUAUUGGGCGUAAAGAGCUCGUAGGCGGCUUGUCACGUCGGUUGUGAAAGCCCGGGGCUUAACCCCGGGUCUGCAGUCGAUACGGGCAGGCUAGAGUUCGGUAGGGGAGAUCGGAAUUCCUGGUGUAGCGGUGAAAUGCGCAGAUAUCAGGAGGAACACCGGUGGCGAAGGCGGAUCUCUGGGCCGAUACUGACGCUGAGGAGCGAAAGCGUGGGGAGCGAACAGGAUUAGAUACCCUGGUAGUCCACGCCGUAAACGGUGGGCACUAGGUGUGGGCAACAUUCCACGUUGUCCGUGCCGCAGCUAACGCAUUAAGUGCCCCGCCUGGGGAGUACGGCCGCAAGGCUAAAACUCAAAGGAAUUGACGGGG
rnacentral:rRNA from 1 species